rnacentral:rRNA from 1 species
AGAGUUUGAUCCUGGCUCAGGACGAACGCUGGCGGCAUGCCUAACACAUGCAAGUCGAACGGUAAGGCCCUCUUCGGAGGGUACACGAGUGGCGAACGGGUGAGUAACACGUGGGUAACCUGCCCUUCACUGGGGGACAACCGAGGGAAACUUCGGCUAAUACCGCAUGAUGUGCGGCUUCACAAGGAGCCGUACCAAAACUCCGGUGGUGAAGGAUGGGCCCGCGGCGGAUUAGCUAGUUGGUGGGGUAAAGGCCUACCAAGGCAACGAUCCGUAGCUGGUCUGAGAGGACGAUCAGCCACACUGGGACUGAGACACGGCCCAGACUCCUACGGGAGGCAGCAGUGGGGAAUCUUGCGCAAUGGGGGCAACCCUGAUCCAGCGACGCCGCGUGUGUGAAGAAGGCCUGCGGGUUGUAAAGCACUUUUAGUGGGGAUGAAAAGCACAUCGCUAAUACCGGUGUGUCUUGACCUAACCCAAAGAAAAAGCACCGGCUAACUCUGUGCCAGCAGCCGCGGUAAUACAGAGGGUGCGAGCGUUAAUCGGAAUUACUGGGCGUAAAGCGUGCGUAGACGGUUAUUUAAGUCGGGUGUGAAAGCCCCGGGCUCAACCUGGGAAUUGCAUUCGAGACUGAAUAGCUAGGGUACGGUAGAGGGAAAGUGGAAUUUCCGGUGUAGCGGUGAAAUGCGUAGAUAUCGGA